ACAGACGGGUCGAGUGAAGGUCCCAGCCUGGAUGAAAGAUGGAUCUUUGGGUGGGUUUUGAAGUGCCUUUGUGCAUCUGAGCAGAUGUCUCCAGUUGGAAGUUUGCAGCAUAAGCAAGAGAUCCUAAUUUGGGUAUCUGACUUUCAGGCAGGGAUUGGAGCCCCUGGCCCAGCUCCCUCGGUCAUGGUCAUGAGUGGAGGGUCUGGGAACCGCCCCAGUCUGGCUGAGCCCCUGCCAAUGCAGGUAAAAACACAGGGGUCUGUGGGGGUAGGGGACAGGAAGGACACUGCAAGAUGUAGAUCACUGUAAGCAUUUUGGACAAGAGUGGUAUCCUGGGCUUCUACAUCUCUCGAACCUUCUGCUGGCUCUCCUUCAUACUUCAUAAAAAUUCUUUAAAACCAGCUAUAACCACCACAAGAAAAAGCAACCCAAACAAAUGCUAAAAACGGCAGCCAGUGGCUCUCUGAGCCUCUCCACCUAUUUUUAUUUUGCUUGCACGGAGCUCCAUGCUAUAAAUAUGCUCAUGGCAUCCGCACAGGAACUCAAAUGCCAGCACAGCCGACGAAGCUGACUAACCACAAAAAUGCCAACUCACCAGACUGAGGAGAAAGAGCUGCUCUGAGCGAAAAUCAGGGACCCUGGGAGGCAGUGGGAUACGUCACACAAGAAUGUUCCACAAGAAAAGGCAUGGCAGCUGAUUUUGCUCUAGAAGAAGGAAAACAGUUUUCACGGACUCUAGUAAAUGUCCUACGGUGAAGACAGGAGACCUCCCCACGGGACUGGUCUGGUAAGGAUUAGGCAAUUGUGAACAACGCUUGGGGGACAGUCAUUAUUACUCCAUAAGAUAACUGCAGGCGUGGUCUGCAGUGAGCCUUAUCUUGGGAAAUAACAUAGAAAUCAGAUCCCUUCCUUAUGUACACGUGGGAAACAGACUACAGAUGUCUACUUCGGGUGGGGGUUGGUGUGGAGGAGCCGACGCGCACAGAGGACAGGAGGGCAGAUGUGGAUGUGUGUGUGCGCACCCACGUGGAACGUGUGCUCAUGCCAGGUUCGAAGGCCUGCAUCCACCACAAGGGGAGAGGACGCUGGGAGAAAUUGCCUGUCGUUGAGGUACGUUUCUGGGGAGUGGAGGGAGGUGCAGUGUCCCCACCCGCCCUGCGUACAGGACGCACUCAGGUGUGUGAUGAGCUCAGGACACAGGCUGUCCAACCUCAGGGCUCCUUUCUAGCAUUUCCCAACACGGUCCCAAAUUCAAACCAGGCCAGAGAAGCAAGGAGCUUAACCACCGCAGGCCUCCACGUCAGGGGAAAACCACGGCAUCCGGCUGAUUGGCAUGAUCGCCAACUGCAUCCCCUUCUGGGUCACUUAAAAAGGAUUGCUCACCGUGAAGCUACUAUGAAGAUGUGCACUCCGGGGGAGGGCUGCAAAUCAUUGUCUCGCCCACACGGUCACCCCCCACUCCUCUUCAGCCCCUGGAGCAUCCUGGCAGGACAACACUGCUCCACGGGUGAAAUCCCUGAUCACAGUCCUCCUGAGAGAGGAGCUUCCUUUCUGCUCCGGACAGACACCCUCCUGUCUCUCAACCCCCUAGGGUCCGAGCCUGCUCCUGCCCCCACACCCCAGGGACCCUGCCUCAAUCUUCUCUGCACGUCGUCCCGCCACUCUUCAGACGUGCUCUCCUCGGGGACGCUCCACCCCUGCUCACCCCUCGUGGCUUCUUCCAUUUCCUCUGCUGGUUCUUGCUCUGCCGUGAGCUACACGUUUAUGGAAAGUUGACAAUAAGGUGUAUUUGGCACGAUUCUGUCCCUGGCUCUCCUCUGCCUCACUGUUGUUUCUUGCAGGACAGGAUUCUUCUUGUGGGUAACUCCCAUAUCUACGUCACUGCACCGGAUUUCUUUCCCAAGCCUGAGACCUGCGUUUCCAACUGCCGGGAGGACUUCAUUACUGACCCCUCAAAGCUGAUGUGACCCAGAGCAAACUCAGCUUCCUUCUGUUAUAUUUGCUUCUUCCUUUCUUCUUUCGGCUUCCUAAUUUUGUGAGCAUCCUCCCAGGUAACCAGGAUCAAAGUUCUCAGGGCUUCCCCCUGGACUUUUCCUUGGUCCCGUGGGCCUGACUUGUCUGCUCGGCGACAUCUCAACCUCCGGUCUCCCCACCCCUCCCAGCUAGACUUCUGCACCCCUUCCAAGUGAAUCUGCUGCCAAGCUUCUAAUAAAUGCAGCAGACCCUUCUUGAGAACUGUGUGUGCCCACAGCUGAUCCCACAUGCCUCUCUGCAGGCCUCUUGCCCAGACCCCAGCUCCCUGCAGGCUGAUGUUGCACGGGGCACAGCCUACCGAGGAGCAUCGUGCUAGAGAAUCCAGGUCUGGGGAACGAGUUGGCUGGUGUUCACUCUGCCUUCCAGGCCUUUCGGGGCUGGAAUUUGGGACACAGCUCCGAAAGCCAAAGGUUGUAAGAGGCUUUCUCUGAGUGCAUUUGAACAGCUGGGCAAAAUAUCCUGGCUUUCAAAAAGAAAGGCAUUCUUCCUGUUUUCAGAAGUCACCAAACCUGUUUCCCGGUUUUUGAAGAAACAGGGUCACCUGGGCUUUGGCCAGGCUGAAACAGCCCAUCCCUUCAUCAGGUGGGUUUACUCAGGAGGACGCAACAUUUGGAUGUGGGCAGGUGUGUUUACUGAGCAGGGGUUCAAGCCUCCUCAUUCAGGGAAAUUCCUGGUAACUUUUCUGCCUUAAGACUUCCCACUGCUGAUCGAAGCAUAGCACUGCCUCAUGUAAAACCAUGGUGGCCGUGUCCUUUAAGUACCAAAUUUGGGGGAGUUUUAGGUGCAUAGUAAACUUUAGAUUUCUUUCCAUUAACAGUAGUAAUUUAAAGAGUAUCACCAAAUAAAGCCUGGAGUUUAGUUGAUGGUAACUUAGCCACGUUAGUUUCCUAGCUGACAGACGUGCCCAGCGAUGGAAGAAGCUGACGUGAGGGCAGAAACCCUACUGUCGUGGCAACUUUUUUCUAAAUCUAAAGUUAUUUCAAAAUAAACAAUAUAAAGAAAGAUCAGCUCCUCUCCCGCCUUCUGCAAAUGGGACAGAAGGCUAAGCCCUUCACAAAUACUGUCUCAUUUCGUCCAUGUAACAGGCCUAUGAGGUACACAUACUACAGAUGACACAGUGUAGCUCCACAAGGGCCAGAGGCAGCCAGAGAUGUCUGGUGGGGGUGUGGCCGGGAGCGUGGACACAGCCAGAGCGCAGCCAUCCCCCUCGGCACGGGCCAGCCGGGUUUCCCAUACCCCAGACUGAAUAGACACAUACACGCAUCCACAUCUACUUCCAUCUGGCCUGGUGGUCCAGAACUCGGUGUGAACUCCUUUCUUCACGAACCUCCCUGCGUUCCAUUCUUUUCCUUAAAUAUAUUCACUCACACAGGCUGCCUAUGCCGUGCAGGCACCAAUGGCCCAGACGUCCUUCAAGGCAGAACUGGCCAGUGAUGCCCCAUGCCCACACUGGACAUGGCCCACUCAUCCAUGACAGGGCCUGGCCCUCCUUUUCCAUGCCUUUCUGUUCCGGAGACCACAAGCCCCCAGCGGGCAAAGCCUUAUACUUGAGCUAGCUCGCUCGCUCCCCCACCCACCUGUGCAUGCAUUCACUGCUUGUAGAAGAAACAAGAGUUAUAGCCAAAAUGCAACUCAGAGAAUCAUAGAAUCUUAGGUUUGUCACAGGAGCUCCGUAUCAGUUGUUCCGGAAAAGGUAUUCAUCACAGUCAUCUCAAGAAGCACUUUAGAAAUACACACGUCUGGGACUCCUCCCAGUGUUCUGAUUCAGGAGGGCUGGAUGGGGCCUGGCAAUCUGUAUUUUUUCAAAACUCCCCCAUCCCCAAUCCCAGGUGACCGUGUUGCAGUGCCAGGUUUGGGGUUUCACCCAACAGAUAAAUGCCUUCUAGAAAUAGUCCACCUCUGCUCAAGAAACCCCAAGGUGGAGGAACUCAUUACCUCCUAAGGCAGCCUCUCAUCGCCAAGUGUUAGUGCUAGGGAAUCCUCUAUAUUUAGACACAAUGUGCCUCUUUGGAAAUUCACUGUUUAGAUUCUGUUCUCUGAUACAACUAAGAAGACACUUACUCCCUUUUCACAUGACCAGACUAAACAGAGCCAUCAGAUUUUCUAGAAUCUUCUCUCUCCUAGGACAAAUGCCCAUAGUUUCAACAACUUUUUUUUUUUUUUUUAAUGGAAUGCAUUCUCUAUUCCAUUUCAAAAGUGAAACUCAGAAUUGCGCCUAGUGUUCUGAAGGAGCCCUGAGCAUUUUUGGUGCUCUGGUCGCUUUCGUGAGGCAGUCUAGGACAAGCAUUCUCGACCCUGGCUACACACGGGAAUCAUCAGGGAAGUUUUAGGUCCAACCUCUCAGAAAUUCUGAUAUGACUGGUCUGGGGUUCUGCCUGGCUAUCAAGAUUUUGUAAAGGUUCCAGGUGAUUCUGCUGAGCAGCUGAUGUUGAGAGCUACAGAUACAGACGCGGGGUCCUCUCUGUGUUAUUCUGUUGACUCACACACUUAUUCACUCAGCCUUUUUGCCUUGAAUCCCUGCCAAUUCCUCAUCAUGCACUUGAGGAAGUGACUAGUUGAACUUAGCAGACUUUUACAUUUAUUCCUGAUAAAUGUCAUCAAUUUGAUUUGGAUCCAUUGUUGCAAGGUCAAGUCAUGUCCUUGAGCUUCAUACUGACUGCUCUCUUUCUAGCUUUGAGUCUUUUACAUGCUUCUGGUAUCGUCAUGUAAAACAUGGAUAAAAUUACAGAUCUUUGAAAGAUCUCCUGAAAAUCCUCUGGGAAAUAAAUGACAGCAGCUGCUUUUUAGGCAAGUGGAUAUUCUUUCACAGUGAAGGACCAGAUGCAAAAGAUUUAUGGUCACAGAUAAUAAAGAGUGUGGCGUUUAUUCCUAGUAUGAAAUGUUCCCUACAGCUCCCUGAAGCUCUCUCUGGUGGCAGGGGCCAGCUGAAGCCACCAUGCUGAGCUGCCAGGGUACAGCUGAUGACAUUUCCUGUGUGUGGCCUCCCCAACAUUAUUUAGGUCACCUGCCACAUGGACCAGAGCUGCCACAGUGACAUCUGCUCAAGACGCCCCAGCCUACGGGAAGAUUUAAGACUGCAUUCGCACACAUCUCACUGGCCAGACAACAAACUGGCGAGAACGGCAUGUGAAUCAUCCUAAAGCACACACAUGAAGUCGGACACCAGAGCACGUUCAUGUCACUACGCAGAAGAGCAGCCCCGUGAACCUGUUCAACGGACACUUGCAUCCCACUGUCUGGAUCACCUGGGGCAAGAGCAGCUCAUCGGCAGCUCCUUUAGGCCCCUGAGCCGUUAAAUGCCCCGAGACCGCCUUAAAGUAAAUUCCCACCUCCAGUGAGGAUACAGUAUACAAUGGCUCCCACCUCUGCCUAAAACACAGAAAGUUUUUGCUAUUUUCUCCUGGAGUUUUUCAAAUGUAUGUUUAGUAGAAGGUCAACUCCCUAAGAGUCUGCAUAGAAUGGUCUUAAAACAACAACAACAACAACCCUAAUAAUUUUCUGGAAAGGUUCUAAUUUUACAGAAGGGUACACUGGAUUUUGCAUCCUAUGGCACAUGAGGUGUUUCCUGAUUUCUUGCACCAGGUUAAUGUUUUAUUCAGUAUUAAACGGACUUAAUAUUAUUUUGAA